CAGAAGGGGUGAAGCCAGGAUCCACCCCUUCCCAGAUCUCAUUUAAGGGUUGGCAGUGGAGGUAAGGGUAUCUCUUGCUGGAGGUCCCUGCCUACCAGAGGCCUUUAAAAGAUGCGCAGUGAUGCCUUGUGUGAGAAAUAUUUUGAUAUCAUGAGUUACUGGAGGCUAUGGAGAAAAACAUUCUUCCUAUGCCAAGUGUUCUUUUAUUAAGAGAGAGAAAGAAUGAUAGUAUUUUAUGGGCAAUAUUUUACUGCACAUUGCUUAUAGCUGUUUCCAUGAAUACAUUAAAUGCUGAAGUGACAAUAAUGUGCACAAAAAAUGCUUUUGGACUUCUUAAGGAGAUGAGCAUAGCUGUGGAAAUCUGAGUUCUGCCAGAGAAGAGAAGAAUGAAUGGAUCCAACUAAAACUGCAAGGGGAAGUCGAUUAAAUGGACUGUAAAUUUGCAUGGUAGAAUUAGGCAAAGAUGCUAAUGGUAAUACUGCUUGUGUUGCAUCAAGUUACAGAACACACUUUUUUUUUUCUUUUCUGUUAUUUUAGGAUCCAGUUGCAUAUUUUGCUCAAAGGUAUGUGCAUCCCACACACCUCUACUUCAUGGCACAAUGCUUUUUAACAACUUACAGCAGGAUUGUUACAGUACUGGCUCAGAACUAUGACUGUAAUUUACUAAGUAACCAGCAGUACAUGUGGGCCAAGAGAGCUUGCGUAUGCUGGAGGUCAGAAAGCACAAAACAGUGACACUAACCAAAAUGUGUUGGAGUGAGUGUAAUAAAGACUAAAAAGAUGCAUGUCUGGUCAUGUAUGUUAAGAAACCAUAGGGGAAACAUGAGAAUGCUAUCAUGGGACACAGUGUAGAUCAAGGAGACUUGAGAUAUAGUCCAGCUUCUAAGGAAGUACUUUGUCUAUUUUAUAUGAAGUCAGAGUAGGAUAAGAUCAGAGAGGCAGACCUGUGCAAUCUCUAUUCCAGUGUACUAAGAGAACAGGUGAAUAUAAAUUGCAGUGCAAUACAG
rnacentral:lncRNA from 1 species